rnacentral:rRNA from 1 species
AUUGAACGCUGGCGGCAGGCCUAACACAUGCAAGUCGAGCGGAUGAAGGGAGCUUGCUCCUGGAUUCAGCGGCGGACGGGUGAGUAAUGCCUAGGAAUCUGCCUGGUAGUGGGGGAUAACGUCCGGAAACGGGCGCUAAUACCGCAUACGUCCUGAGGGAGAAAGUGGGGGAUCUUCGGACCUCACGCUAUCAGAUGAGCCUAGGUCGGAUUAGCUAGUUGGUGGGGUAAAGGCCUACCAAGGCGACGAUCCGUAACUGGUCUGAGAGGAUGAUCAGUCACACUGGAACUGAGAUACGGUCCCGACUCCGACGGGAGGCAGCAGUGGGGAAUAUUGGACAAUGGGCGAAAGCCUGAUCCAGCCAUUCCGCGUGUGUGAAGAAGGUCUUCGGAUUGUAAAGCACUUUAAGUUGGGAGGAAGGGCAGUAAGUUAAUACCUUGCUGUUUUGACGUUACCAACAGAAUAAGCACCGGCUAACUUCGU